AAAUUGAAGAGUUUGAUCAUGGCUCAGAUUGAACGCUGGCGGCAGGCCUAACACAUGCAAGUCGAACGGUAACAGGAAGCAGCUUACUGCUUCGCUGACGAGUGGCGGACGGGUGAGUAAUGUCUGGGAAACUGCCUGAUGGAGGGGGAUAACUACUGGAAACGGUGGCUAAUACCGCAUAACGUCGCAAGACCAAAGAGGGGGACCUUCGGGCCUCUUGCCAUCAGAUGUGCCCAGAUGGGAUUAGCUAGUUGGUGAGGUAACGGCUCACCAAGGCGACGAUCCCUAGCUGGUCUGAGAGGAUGACCAGCCACACUGGAACUGAGACACGGUCCAGACUCCUACGGGAGGCAGCAGUGGGGAAUAUUGCACAAUGGGCGCAAGCCUGAUGCAGCCAUGCCGCGUGU
rnacentral:rRNA from 1 species